AUUGAACGCUGGCGGCAUGCCUUACACAUGCAAGUCGAACGGUAACAGGUCUUCGGAUGCUGACGAGUGGCGAACGGGUGAGUAAUACAUCGGAACGUGCCUAGUAGUGGGGGAUAACUACUCGAAAGAGUGGCUAAUACCGCAUGAGAUCUACGGAUGAAAGCAGGGGAUCGCAAGACCUUGUGCUACUAGAGCGGCCGAUGGCAGAUUAGGUAGUUGGUGGGAUAAAAGCUUACCAAGCCGACGAUCUGUAGCUGGUCUGAGAGGACGAUCCGCCACACUGAGACUGAGACACGGCCCAGACUCCUACGGGAGGCAGCAGUGGGGAAUUUUGGACAAUGGGCGCAAGCCUGAUCCAGCAAUGCCGCGUGCAGGAUGAAGGCCUUCGGGUUGUAAACUGCUUUUGUACGGAACGAAAAGCCCUGGGUUAAUACCCUGGGGUCAUGACGGUACCGUAAGAAUAAGCACCGGCUAACUACGUGCCAGCCGCCGCAGUAACAC
rnacentral:rRNA from 1 species